UCUGCUUUGCUUUCAUCUUAGUGCUGUCCCCUCCAGAGCCUUCCACAGCCUCUUCCCACCCCUCCAGCCUCUCGAAUAGGCGGGUGUCGAUGGUUUGAGACGCUGAAGGGCACUUUCGAAAGCAGGGUGCACACCAAGGUGGCCAAAGGGCCGGGCUGGGUGAGGUAGGGGUGGCCCAGCAGCCCCAGGAGCGUGGUGUAGAGCCGGGGUCUGGAAGCAGGGCAGGAAUGAGCGAGGGUGGUAAAAUUAAACUUCACUUUGUUAACUAAUGGCUGGGGAGUGCUGGGCGUCAGCCGUGACAUGCGUGUGCUGUGGCGCCAGCAGUGCCUGGAAAGACAGUGUAAACUGUGUUUUUCAUCUCCUUGGAGAGCUUGGACAUAGUGUAGUCUAGGGCAUUAUCUGUUGCUUUCCAAGCUCUCAGAAAGCUGUCAUUUCAACACUCCCUGUUUUUUAAAAGGUUUUUUUUUUUUUUUUUUUUUUUUUUUUUUUUUGUGUUCCCUUGUCUAUCUUUUCAAGGGCCUUUACAGGGAAGAGGCUGAUUGUAGAAGAGGAAAAGGCUGCCAGACACACUAGGUCAACAGUGAAAAGAGAUUGCAUACCACAUUCUGGAACCAAAUUUAGAGUGAAUGAUAUGCAAAUUUUAAAGAUUGAACCCAGCAGUUCUGAUUUCUCCCAGGAACAAAGGAACAAGUGCUUCUUUAUCCUAGGUGGGAGCCAAUUCCUUCAUAUUUUGGAGAAAGAUUACAAUCCAAAAUCACAUUUCUCUGAGGUUGUAUGUGCCUAGGAUCUGAAGUGCUGUCAAAAGCAUAGUGGUUGGGGACUAAAUGGUUAAUAAAAUCAGUUACUGCAAGGACAUAUAAUCAAAUGGGCAGCAAUAUCUUUCCAAAGUUAGUAGCUAUCUCCCUAUAUACAAGUAGAUUAUUUCACAGUCUUCUGUUUUUCUCAACAUCAGUUCACUCUUAACUCAUUUUUAUAAUUAUUGCACACAAUAUUAAUUUGUUGCUACCAAGCAUUCUUCUACAAUAAUUUGAAACUCAGGAGAUGGGUUGAUACUGGGGAAAGGACUAUUUGUAUAUAGUUACAUUGGAUAGAGAGUAUUCUGCCACCACCAAUUAAGAAAGCAAAGAAAGAAAAAGAGUGAAUACUGCAGAUAUCUAUAGCAAAAAUGAUAGGAAUGACCGUUUUUAUAUACUUCCGUGUCAUUACUGGUAAAUAAAAGAAAGCAGAGGGAGAUGAAAGUUACUGGGGGUGAGCUUUUUGUUAUUAAGAGAACCCAAAUGAAACCUCAGACAACCCAGGUGCAGAAGGG
rnacentral:lncRNA from 1 species